rnacentral:rRNA from 1 species
AAUCAACACUGGCGGCGCGCUUAACACAUGCAAGUCGCACGAGAAAGGGGGCAACCCUGAGUAAAGUGGCGUACGGGUGAGUAACACGUGGAUUAUCUACCUUUUAGUGGGGAAUACCCCUGGGAAACCGGGGACAAUACCGCAUAAGCCCGCAAGGGGAAAGCAGCAAUGCGCUGAAAGAGGAGUCCGCGGCUGAUUAGCUAGUUGGCGGGGUAAUGGCCCACCAAGGCGAAGAUCGGUAGCCGGCCUGAGAGGGCACACGGCCACACUGGCACUGAAAUACGGGCCAGACUCCUACGGGAGGCAGCAGUGGGGAAUCUUGCACAAUGGAGGAAACUCUGAUGCAGCGACGCCGCGUGAGCGAUGAAGCCCUUCGGGGUGUAAAACUCUUUCGACUGGGAACGAUAA